GCCCUGGAGAGAGAUGCACUCCUCAACAUUGCCUGUUGCUGAAGAUUCAGAACUAGCAGCAAAACCAAAACAAAAAGAUCAAGCUGGUUUUUGAACGGCUGCGAUGUUAAGAGGAGACCAAAGGCUGUGAAUGGAGAAAAUAGAAUUCACUGAAUGUCAAGGGACUUGCCCAGGGACACACAGUGUGUGCUUUCUCCAUUACACAGUCACCUAAUUGAAGAUUGGCCCCAAAUCUUAUUUAUCUUGGUGUCCUAUUGGCUAACGGCCAUGCCUCACACAUAAUAAGUAUUGAGAAAAUGAUUGUUGAUUAAAUGAAUGAAGGUAAAUUAUG
rnacentral:lncRNA from 1 species